GACGCCAGUCUCCGUUGAUGUUACCAGUACCACCAACAUCUCUAUCGCCAUCACCACAACCAACACCACGAGCGCUUUCUUCCGAAUCCCACCACCACCGCAACAUCUAAUACUGAACUUUCAUCGCCGCCACUGUCAGAUCGAUAACAAACAGAGAUGGUGGUUUUCGACUUCAAUCAAAUCUCAAAAUCAAACUUCAUAAACACCAUCAAUAGAUCUUCUUCUUCUCAUUUUAACUGUAAUUUCUACAUCAAUUGAAGAUUCAAGCGAUCAAGAUAGAGUUUUAGGUUUUCAAUUUCGGUUUCAGAUUUGAAUGGAGAUUUUAAUUUUGACAAUGGAGACGAUGAUGAAUAAUGGCUUGAAUUAUUACAGAUGGGAUCUGAUAUCUUGUCAAAAUAGGGACGAAACUGAGCUGCUAAUGUUCUCUGGUGCAGAAUAUACUCUAUACAAAACUAAUCCGGUGAAGAAUCAAUGAGGAAAUAGUUUUCAAAACUUGGAUCUGGUGAGGAAUCGACGAGAAAUGUUUUCUUUAGCGAGAAAUCAACACCACCACCAUUACAAUGAUGACCACCACCGUUUCAACAACAACAACUUCCUUUUCUAGACUUAUCAAACGGAGAUGUAGUCUUCAUGGAUCGAUACAAAUCGAUUGUGUAUUGAUGAUUUUUACAUUACAAAGGUCAGAUUCAAACCAUGAGACGGAGUUUCAAGACAAUAAUUAAGUGCAGAAUGGGUUCUCAGGUAGCAAAUUCAAAUAAGUUAAAUUGAUUUGUGUGGUGGUUGUAUGGGGCUUAGUUAUGAGAUGGGAAGUUGUUGGAUGUGUUUGGUGGUCAAAUGGGUGUUGAUUGAUUUGGUUUUGGGUUCGAGUUGUUGGUCACAAAACAGAUGAAGGAAUAAGAUGUUGCUACUGUAGUUGUGAGAUUGAGACUCAUAGAGAAUUAGAUAUGGUUUCAAUGAGGGAAUAUGGUGUUCAUGGCUGCAGCAAUUUCUUUAUAUCACAUUUCUCUACAGGCAACAAAAACAUGAAGAAUGAGGGAUACAGAUGAUGAGGAAAUCGAAUAGACGGCUUGUGUCAAUGUUAUCGAGUUGAAUUGUUGGCAGGAAGGAAUAUAUAGAUGGCUAUUGACAGUGUCGCGGCCAUGGUUGAUUAUUGGCUUCUAUUUACUAUUGAUGUGUGCCUAUGGCUUGGAUUGGAGAAUGUUUGGUAUCGUGGGUGUGUUGGGAACUUGGGUUCUCAUUAGUGUGUUGUUUGAUUAUUUUGGGGAGUCACUGAUUUAUCAGCCGAGAAAUUGAUACAUGGAAAUGGUGAGUUGAAGGUCGAUGCCAUGGUGCUAUUCUCAGAAUUUGAGGGUCUGCAUUUGGAAGCAAGUCAGUGAUGGACAUGACUCAGACAAUAGAAAUUGCAGCCGAUGAGUGCCUAAAUCUAGAAGUUUCGUGAACCAAACUUGGUUGUGUAGACAUGAGAGGUGGACUCAAGUCCCAUAAUCUGUUGGCAGUGUCUGUGUUGGCUGGAGUAACUCGUGGCGAUGGCGAGAUUUUUGCAUUUGAAUUAUGAAAGGAUGAGUCUAAAUUCGUGAUUGAUUUGGUGUGUACAAAAUGAAGAGAGUUUGCUGUGGCUGGUACUUAGAAAGUCAAGUUGUUGUAGCCGGAGUUUUCUAAUGUGGUUGAGCUGAUUAGGGCUGCACAUGGGUUGGAUUGGGUCGGGUUUGGCCUCACCCACCACCCAACCCACUGAUGGUGGGUAACAGAAGUUGUCACCCGCAACCAACCCAACAUUACAAUGGGUCGGUUUUCACCCUACCCACAUUACGGUGGUUUGGAUUGGGUGGGUGGUGGGUAACCCACCACAAAAUACAAUGAACAUUACAGUUACAGACUUACAGUCUUACUGUUAAACUUACUUGUGUAUAAAUAACUAAGACUCUUACA